rnacentral:lncRNA from 1 species
AAGAAGUCCCAGAAACUGAACAGAUCACUAUGCCUCUCCAACUUAAGAAUAUAUAACUGUUGAAAGAGUAAAAACUGUUGAAAGUCACUCCUACACAAGACAAGCUACAGCAAAGACUCUCAGACAAGCCAAGAUAUCUUGAAGAAUCAAAGACUAGCCAAUCAUCCUAAACUUCUGAAAGAGAGAGAGAGAAAUUGGACUGUCUAGAAGAGACAGACUGGUUGAGAUUCCUAGAAGAGACUUAAACCAACUAAGCCAUUGGGAAAGGAUGCUCUCCAACUGGUUGAGCUAGUUUGUUGUGUAGCGUGCUUCAGGCUCAACAUACACAAGCUGAUGUUCAGAGGAUGCCAAGACUGCAUCUCAUGUAAGAUGAUAUCGACUUUGUUGCACUACCAGAAGCUAGGAAAUGCCACGCAUGUAAUAUCUACAAGGGCCUUUACAGGAAUCACAGCUCUGGAGAUAUACGAAUGUCAUACUAGUGUCCUGAGGAAGGUAGAACCUAUGAAUAAUUCACAUUGUUAGGAAACUUUACCUGUAGAAGAAACAGACAGAACAAGCAAACCAAGCAUGUGGGGAAAAAAUGGGUCCUGAUUCAAUGGAACUGCUUUUUUAAAAGGAGACUUCAAGAGCCUGGGGUUGUAAAGAGAUGUGCAACACUGGCUGAGGUUUCUUUAAAAAAAAAAAGCAAAGAAAUUGCACAAAAAUUUGUCAAGCAUUCCAGCAAUAAAUAUGCCCCAGA